AAUAGAAGAGCCGGCUGGGUGGCUCAUUCUCUGUUCCACACCCCUGCAUGAGAUGAUUAAAGUGAGUGGCCGAUUUCACCCCUGCAUUUUUGUGCAAUUCACUGAUCCACCCAAAUGUUUUCUUUCCUCCACGUAAUGCCUCAUUUGCUGAAUUGCUGGGUGGGUUCUACACUUCUACCGACCCGGAGAAAAUGAGAGAGAGGAGAACAUGGGAAGAAAGGAAGGAAGAAAUUCAGAAAGAGAAACAGAGAGGUGGAGAGAAUUGUUGGGUUGAUAGAGAGCGAAAGACAGAGAGGCGUUGUUGAGAUGGUUAUUCGUUUUGAGGCUUAUGGAUUUUCAGAGAGAAUGAGCGCAUUAUUGAAGCAAAUUGGCUGAGAACCGUAUGGAAUCAAAAACGGUGGUGAAUUGGUAGAAGAUGAAGGGGAACCUUCUGCUUCUCUCAGUGAGGAGAAAAAAGAGAAUCAUGCUCAACUGCUUUGCCCUUCCUCCUCAUUGGUCUGAAGUUUCCAUUGGUGCCUUUCCUAAAGAUGCCUCAGAAGAAGAGUUGAUGGAGCUAUGCAGUGAAAUAGGCAAAAUCGUUAAGGGCAAGCAUUACCCCUGGAACUGUGUUGAUCAUUCUGGCUUGAAGAUUCAAGGGCAAGACGGUUGUCUUUUUGAAGCAGCUUUCUUUUGGUAAUUGUUAAGUUUUGUUUUUCUCAACUGAGUGAGAAAAUGUUUUUGCUUUCGGUUACCAAGUAGUGCUUUUGUAUUCAUGUCCCUGUGAUCAAUGUACAUGUAGUUUGAGCGUCAUUGUGCUACAGAUUUUAGAAUAUGUAAAACAACACCGUUUAUUGUACUAAGCUCAUUAAGAAUAAAGUCACAAGUCAACCAUGUGGAUAUUGAAUACUUACAAACUAGCUUUAUGUAUA